rnacentral:rRNA from 1 species
CGCCCUUCCUACGGGAGGCAGCAGUGGGGAAUUUUGGACAAUGGGCGCAAGCCUGAUCCAGCCAUGCCGCGUGCGGGAAGAAGGCCUUCGGGUUGUAAACCGCUUUUGUUCAGGGAAGAAAUCUUCUGGGUUAAUACCUCGGGAGGAUGNCGUNCCGAAG